rnacentral:rRNA from 1 species
GAUGAACGCUGGCGGCGUGCCUAAUACAUGCAAGUCGAGCGAACAGAUGAGGAGCUUGCUCCUCUGACGUUAGCGGCGGACGGGUGAGUAACACGUGGAUAACCUACCUAUAAGACUGGGAUAACUUCGGGAAACCGGAGCUAAUACCGGAUAAUAUAUUGAACCGCAUGGUUCAAUAGUGAAAGACGGUUUUGCUGUCACUUAUAGAUGGAUCCGCGCCGCAUUAGCUAGUUGGUAAGGUAACGGCUUACCAAGGCAACGAUGCGUAGCCGACCUGAGAGGGUGGUCGGCCACACUGGAACUGAGACACGGUCCAGACGCCUACGGGAGGCAGCAGUAGGGAAUCUUCCGCAAUGGGCGAAAGCCUGACGGAGCAACGCCGCGUGAGUGAUGAAGGUCUUCGGAUCGUAAAACUCUGUUAUUAGGGAAGAACAAAUGUGUAAGUAACUAUGCACGUCUUGACGGUACCUAAUCAGAAAGCCACGGCUAACUACGUG